CCGCCGCGGUGCUGGCGGGCGAGGGGCCGUGCUGGGGCUCGCCGGGCGCUGCGGAUGAGCGGCGCCGGGGAGGAAGACGCGAAUGAGCCGAGGUCGGGCGGAAGAGGGCGGUAUAACGGGCCACCAGGGGCUCUUGGGGAUCACUGACAUGGGAGCUCAACGCUGGCGGCGACCCAGGCCUGUAGCGCCAUAGAGGACUUAAAAGAUGAGGGAACAAAGGCCCACAAAGCUAAGUAACUUGUAGGAGGACAGUAAACUAAUAAAUGGCAAAGAUGGAAUUCUAUCUGCAGUCAGAGCUGGGGUCGACCAAUAUACAAAGCUCACCUCUCAGCCAAUGUGGACACGAAUGCUCAUCUUUCCAUACUGCCUGUGUGGAUAAAAACUGGUGGAACAGCACAAGUAAAGAAAUCCUUGAUUUUUAUUCUCCUGCUUCUAUACCAGAUGGGAAAAUUGAGGUUGAGAGAAGCUGACAAUCUUGCUAUCUAGACGAUUUCUUUUGUGAUCUUCCAACCUUGGAGAAUGAGGAAAGGUAAAACAGAGGUGUCUUCUCUACAGGGUCCUUGAUUUGAUGACAGCCUCUGAGUUGGUAGGCAAAAUUGUAAAAGAUUGCCUGAAAAUGACUUGCACUAACAGGAGACAUUCUGUCCACCCGCCGGAUAUCAUACUGUUAACAAAAAGAUGUUCUGAUUUUGGAUCUGAUGUUCUUUCUACUUCUUGCCUAUCCCUCGACUUCAUGAAUAAUUCCACCUCAGAUGCGAAGCCAAUCUGACUGUGAUUCUCAGAGUGCCUGGUUCCUGCUAGUCCCCUCAAAUGUCUCAUCACUUGUGCUAAAUAAAGGGGACUAAAAAGG